GACGAACGCUGGCGGCGUGCUUAACACAUGCAAGUCGAACGGAAAGGCCCUGCUUUUGUGGGGUGCUCGAGUGGCGAACGGGUGAGUAACACGGGAGUAACCUGCCCUGGACUUUGGGAUAACUUCAGGAAACUGGGGCUAAUACCGGAUAGGAGCGCCUGCUGCAUGGUGGGGGUUGGAAAGUUUCGGCGGUUGGGGAUGGACUCGCGGCUUAUCAGCUUGUGGGUGGGGUAGUGGCUUACCAAGGCUUUGACGGGUAGCCGGCCUGGGAGGGUGACCGGCCACAUUGGGACUGAGAUACGGCCCAGACUCCUACGGGAGGCAGCAGUGGGGAAUAUUGCACAAUGGGCGGAAGCCUGAUGCAGCAACGCCGCGUGCGGGAUGACGGCCUUCGGGUUGUAAACCGCUUUCGCCUGUGACGAAGCGUGAGUGACGGUAAUGGGUAAAGAAGCACCGGCUAACUACGUG
rnacentral:rRNA from 1 species